CUUCAGAUCGAGACAGGGUCCAAAUGUCACUUGCUUUCAUUUUAUACUCAUUCACUGGAUUUGGGUUUAGAACAGGUCCUAAAACUCAGAUAUCAUAUCAACUGGAACCACUGAGUUGGUAGAACACAGGACAGGUACACAGCUCAUCAACUUGAAAUAUCCGGGUUCGCACCGGGAAGUUAACUACUAACAACGCUAAGCUUUAUCUAUUCAACACCAUAUAUUACAGUGAAAUAUAUAUUUGUAUAGUCAUUCGACAGGCUGUGUCUGAAUGAAAAGUUUUUAUAUAUGCAGUACUCAUGUGUGCGCAGGCAGGGGGGGGUACGAUUGUCACGUUACAGUCGGUCAAUUAAUGAGCAAAACGCGCUUCAGUUUAAAA